rnacentral:rRNA from 1 species
UACGUAGGGUGCAAGCGUUGUCCGGAAUUAUUGGGCGUAAAGAGCUCGUAGGCGGUCUGUCACGUCGGCUGUGAAAACCUGGGGCUCAACUCCGGGCCUGCAGCCGAUACGGGCAGACUAGAGUUCGGCAGGGGAGACUGGAAUUCCUGGUGUAGCGGUGAAAUGCGCAGAUAUCAGGAGGAACACCGGUGGCGAAGGCGGCGACCUGGUCCGAUACUGACGCUGAGGCGCGAAAGCGUGGGGAGCAAACAGG